AUUGAACGCUGGCGGAAUGCUUUACACAUGCAAGUCGAGCGGCAGCGCGGGGGCAACCCUGGCGGCGAGCGGCGAACGGGUGAGUAACAUAUCGGAACGUACCCAGUCGUGGGGGAUAACUAUCCGAAAGGAUAGCUAAUACCGCAUACGACCUGAGGGUGAAAGCGGGGGACCGUAAGGCCUCGCGCGAUUGGAGCGGCCGAUAUCGGAUUAGCUAGUUGGUGAGGUAAAGGCUCACCAAGGCGACGAUCCGUAGCUGGUCUGAGAGGACGACCAGCCACACUGGAACUGAGACACGGUCCAGACUCCUACGGGAGGCAGCAGUGGGGAAUUUUGGACAAUGGGGGCAACCCUGAUCCAGCCAUUCCGCGUGAGUGAA
rnacentral:rRNA from 1 species